rnacentral:rRNA from 1 species
UGCAGUCGAACGGUAACGCGGAGAGCUUGCUCUCUGGCGACGAGUGGCGGACGGGUGAGUAACGCGUGGGAAUCUGCCUAGUAGUGGGGGACAACUCGAGGAAACUCGAGCUAAUACCGCAUACGCCCUACGGGGGAAAGCGGGGGAUCUUCGGACCUCGCGCUACUAGAUGAGCCCGCGUCGGAUUAGCUAGUUGGUGAGGUAAAAGCUCACCAAGGCGACGAUCCGUAGCUGGUCUGAGAGGACGAUCAGCCACACUGGGACUGAGACACGGCCCAGACUCCUACGGGGAGGCAGCAGUGGGGAAUAUUGGACAAUGGGGGAAACCCUGAUCCAGCAAUGCCGCGUGUGUGAAGAAAGCCUGCGGGUUGUAAAGCACUUUCAGUGAGGAAGAAAAGCCUGGGGAUAAUACCCCCGAGUCUUGACGUUACUCCCCAGAAGAAAGCACCCGGCUAACUCCGUGCCAGCAGCCGCGGUAAUACG